AAAACUUUCAACAACGGAUCUCUUGGUUCUGGCAUCGAUGAAGAACGCAGCGAAAUGCGAUAAGUAAUGUGAAUUUGCAGAAUUUAGU
rnacentral:rRNA from 1 species